UCUUCCUUCAGCUACAGGUGUCAGCCGGUCUAGUUUCUCUUCAAAUCCCAAAAUGUCAUUUUCAGGAGCACGGUAAAGAUCUGUUGUAAUAACUUUCCAAGGGGAGCAUCUCCGGAGCGGUGCGCAGGUGGGUGUGGGGCUGGGAGGCACGACCAUCCGCAGCUGCGGCCUCCGGAAAUUUGGCGAACAUUUGAAAAAUCCACCCGAGAAAAAGAACCAUUUGUUUGCUCUAGUUUCUCCCCACCUUUUGUCCUCUUCUGUUCCCCUAGGGCUAGGUUUUUAUACUCAGCCAGUUUAAUCAGCUCGCAGAAGAGGUUAUGCUUUCUCCCCUCCAAGCCGGUCCGUGCACACCACGGUGACCAGCCCUCUUCUCCCAGGUGGUUGCAACCCCCCGGGGACGUGCAGAGAGCCGGACCCGCGGGCGGUCAACCUGAUCGCGGCUGCGCGCCCCCAGAAGGCCCCGCGUAGGGUCUGGGAAGGGCGGUGGGGGUCGGGUGAGUCCGCCGGCCCCAGGGCCCCUAGGACAGGCGGGGACUGAGACGACUGAGGGGAUGAGGGGCAGGGAGGCUGGCACAGGGGAGAGGAGACCCGAGGCCCUGCCUAGACCGCGGUGGUGGUGUUGGAGCCGGCAGGACACAUCCUUUUAGGGCCCGGGAGGAUGCGAAAACUCGCAUCAAAUGCAAACGGAUCCCCGCCCUGGACUUUGGGAAUUAAGACCAUGAACACAUUCAGCAAAAAAGUAUGUCUGUCGGCGCAUAUGUUUCUUUCCGUACCUUUCACAACAGGGACCUUAUUAAAAGCCCGGGCCUCGAAUUCCAAGUGGGUAGGGAUGGGGAGGCUGGGAAUGGGGAGGGGAGCUCGUCUGUCUUCUGGUCGCCGACAGGAAAUGAAACUUCCCUCCGCCGAGCCCCAAGCGCCAUGGGCCAAACUGAGACUCUUUAUCUCGCGUCGUCACAGUUCCAGAGCCAGGUCGGCCAUGGUGAUUUUCAAGCGUUUAUUUCAGUGAUUGAUUCUUCUAGAAUCUAAUGGCUUUUAUUCUCUGGCCAUCUCCUCCUUUACACACGGGUAUCAUAAGAGACGGCACAGGAGCGAAACUCGGGGCUCUCGGGUCUGUGUUGGAUGGACAGAGAGGCAACGACCUGAAACCGAAUUCUGAUCUUUAUUGGUCGCUGGGAGGACUCAUUGCAAGAUGAUUGAAGACGUAAAUGAUUUUUUUCUCCUUUGGCGGGCAGUCACAGUUUGAGGAUUCAGCUUUCCCUAAUGAGGGAAGAGAAAAACUGUCCUGGGGAAUGCCAUUUUGUUUUGAUGACCAGCAUCUUUCCACUGCUUUGAUGGGACACCCACUGCCACCUGCUCUGAAUGUUGGCUGCCAAUCGCUCACAGCUGCCCAUUCUUCAGAGCAUUACCCUCAGCUGCCAUCUUCUCCCGAGAAUUUCUUCAGCCAAAAGGAACCAUCUCACAUGAGAGGUUAUGCCUCCGAGGCUGGGAGGUGUGAACUGCUUCAGGUACUCCAGGAUGUCUGACUUGACUGUGCUGACUGAGGCCCGAUGGAACCAGCGCAUGACAGGGACUCCAUCAGGUCCCACCAGGAAUUUCUCAAAGUUCCAGCGGAUGUCGUG